UUGCUCACUUCAGCAGCAGCACAUGUACUAAAAAUUGGAAAGCUGCAGAGAAGAUUAGCAUGGCCCCUGUGCAAGGAUGGCACACAUGUUGCAAAGUGUUCCAUAUUUCU